CAGUCGCCACGGUAAUACGAAGGGGGCUAGCGUUGUUCGGAUUUACUGGGCGUAAAGGGCGCGUAGGCGGGCGAAUAAGUCAGGGGUGAAAUCCCAAGGCUCAACCUUGGAACUGCCUUUGAUACUGUUUGUCUUGAGUUCGAGAGAGGUAAGUGGAACUGCGAGUGUAGAGGUGAAAUUCGUAGAUAUUCGCAAGAACACCAGUGGCGAAGGCGGCUUACUGGCUCGAAACUGACGCUGAGGCGCGAAAGCGUGGGGAGCAAACAGGAUUAGAUACCCGCGUAGUCCCUGUCUCUUAUAC
rnacentral:rRNA from 1 species